GAGAAAUCACUUCCGCGGCAGAUAUUCAUUGUAUCC
rnacentral:sRNA from 1 species